rnacentral:tRNA from 2 species
GCAAAAAGCCCAUUCAACUCCUUAACUCUUU